UACAACUUAAUGCUACAACGUAGCCUAACAACCCAAUGCUACAACUUAAUGCUACAGCGUAGCCUAACAACUCAAUGCUACAACUUAAUGCUACAGCGUAGCCUAACAACCCAAUGCUACAACUUAAUGCUACAACGUAGCCUAACAAGUCAAUGCUACAACUUAAUGCUACAACGUGGCCCAGAGGUCACUAAUUGGCGGGACGCGGUCUGGAUCUGGAUCCAGAAGCUGUCCCAUCUGGACCAAAAGCUAAAAACAAACGGUUGUUGUGACCCGCGCAGCUUUGGUCGUCUUUACGGUAGUGACUUAAACGUUAGUGGCUUAACCAAUCGCAAUCGAGUUCAACCAUCCAACGUGAUACCACUCGACCAAUCGAGUCUUUGCAUUCCAGGCAGGACGAUGAUAUCGUCUCAAUACUGCGGACAGACGACAGAGGUAGCGGCAAAAUACAAAUAAAAAGAGAAAAAGUAAACGAGUGAAAUUUGAAAAAAAGAACCGUGAGAAAAACGAGGAAUAAGUGGACAGCGAAAGUAAAACAUUUAAUCCUCAAUGGACAGACUUAUUUCUAUUCAUACUUCACACACAGCACUAAACCAGUGUCUCAUGUGCUCAGAACACGUUGAAACGCCGUCAUGAGGCGCAAUGAGCUCCUCUUCAAACAUUAAUUGUUCAAUUUGAAAACCAUUUGACCUGUAAUAGUUGUCCUUUAGCUUCUUGUCACUGUUAUUUGUUUAUUUGUGCAUGAAUUACACGCGCCUCCAACACACAGGUUCUCCGUCAUGUUUUAAAGGCUGGUUUACGUUAUGAACUUUAUAAUAUGAAUUAAAAUCUCUAAACUUCCCUUUAGCUUCUCAUCUUUGGAGCAGAUGUGAGAACUUUCCCUCAGGAUUCCUCUGAGGUUCGUUUUCAGAACAUUCUGGGAAAUGACACGUGGAAAGGUGCGAGGUGCAUUGUGGGUAACAGGGUUUUGUUUAGACUGGGUGUGCAGCAGGUCGUCCUGGGCGGACCAGCAGGCUGUGGAGACGAGAUGAAGGAGUGAUGAUUUACUGUGUUUAGUCUGAAUCACAUUACAGGUCAUUUAGCAUUUUAUCCAAAGCCACUUACGUUGCAUUUUUAACCCGUCGCUUUUUACAUGCCGGGGAGCAGUUAGGGGGUACGUGUCUU
ensembl:lncRNA